UACGUAGGGGGCUAGCGUUGUCCGGAAUGAUUGGGCGUAAAGCGUCCGCAGGUGGCAAUGUAAGUCUGCUGUUAAAGAGUCUAGCUCAACUAGAUAAAAGCAGUGGAAACUACAUAGCUAGAGUACGUUCGGGGCAGAGGGAAUUCCUGGUGUAGCGGUGAAAUGCGUAGAGAUCAGGAAGAACACCAGUGGCGAAGGCGCUCUGCUAGGCCGUAACUGACACUGAGGGACGAAAGCUAGGGGAGCGAAUGGG
rnacentral:rRNA from 1 species